rnacentral:lncRNA from 1 species
CCUGCAUGGCUGGUCUCUGAGCCUCCACCACUAACUUCUUCUACUUUGCCUUCAGCUCAAUGCAACUUCCUGUGCCACUCCCAACAGCACACUCCGUUCCGCCUUUGGGGGGGCGCUCUUCCACUCCCCGGUGUCCCGCCCACUGCCCUCCGGAGGCAAGCUCGACCAACCUGCUCGGACCCCCAGCCGCGUGGCCAUGAAGCCCCCUCGCACGGCGCACACAGAACGGAACAAGGAGAACAUAUCCCAGUUGAAUGGAACCACCCUGAGCGCGCGAACUUUCAAAGGCUUCCAAAUCUGACAUGAGCUCCCGGAUCCUGAACUCCACAACCACCAACAUCCACUGUUGAGGAGG